rnacentral:rRNA from 1 species
GACGAACGCUGGCGGCGCGCUUAACACAUGCAAGUCGAGCGAGAACCAGGACUUCGGUCCUGGGGACAGCGGCGAACGGGUGAGUAACACGUGGAUAACCUGCCCUCGGCACCGGGAUAGCCCGAGGAAACUCGGAUUAAUACCGGAUAGCCCUUCCGACUCUCGAGUCGGUCCGAAAAGGUAGCUUCGGCCUCUGGCCGAGGAUGGGUCCGCGGCGGAUUAGCUUGUUGGUGGGGUAACGCCUACCAAGGCAUCGAUCCGUAGCUGGUCUGAGAGGACGAUCAGCCACACUGGGACUGAGACACGGCCCAGACUCCUACGGGAGGCAGCAGUGGGGAAUAUUGGACAAUGGGCGAAAGCCUGAUCCAGCCAUGCCGCGUGGGUGAAGAAGGCCUUAGGGUUGUAAACCCCUUUCAGCGGGGAAGAUAAUGACGGUACCCGCAGAAGAAGUCCCGGCUAACUCCGUGCCAGCAGCCGCCGUAAC